GAACCGAAAAGGCAAACCUGUCGAAAGGCGGGGACGCAAAGCUACCGAUCUAAGGGAGAUUCCUAGGAUGGCGGGGCCACCGAA
rfam:Gammaproteobacteria bacterium SG8_31 WOR_8-12_28235, whole genome shotgun sequence.